GAUGAACGCUGGCGGCGUGCCUAAUACAUGCAAGUCGAGCGAACGGACGAGAAGCUUGCUUCUCUGAUGUUAGCGGCGGACGGGUGAGUAACACGUGGAUAACCUACCUAUAAGACUGGGAUAACUUCGGGAAACCGGUGCUAAUACCGGAUGAUAUUUUGAACCGCAUGGUUCAAAAGUGAAAGACGGUCUUGCUGUCACUUAUAGAUGGUUCCGCGCUGCAUUAGCUAGUUGGUAAGGUAACGGCUUACCAAGGCAACGAUGCAUAGCCGACCUGAGAGGGUGAUCGGCCACACUGGAACUGAGACACGGUCCAGACUCCUACGGGAGGCAGCAGUAGGGAAUCUUCCGCAAUGGGCGAAAGCCUGACGGAGCAACGCCGCGUGAGUGAUGAAGGUCUUCGGAUCGUAAAACUCUGUUAUUAGGGAAGAACAUAUGUGUAAGUAACUGUGCACAUCUUGACGGUACCUAAUCAGAAAGCCACGGCUAACUACGUG
rnacentral:rRNA from 1 species